GUUUACAACUCCCAAACCCCUGUGAACAUACCUUAAUGUUGCCUCGGCGGAUCAGCCCGCGCCCCGUAAAACGGGACGGCCCGCCAGAGGACCCAAACUCUAAUGUUUCUUAUUGUAACUUCUGAGUAAAACAAACAAAUAAAUCAAAACUUUCAACAACGGAUCUCUUGGUUCUGGCAUCGAUGAAGAACGCAGCAAAAUGCGAUAAGUAAUGUGAAUUGCAGAAUUCAGUGAAUCAUCGAAUCUUUGAACGCACAUUGCGCCCGCUGGUAUUCCGGCGGGCAUGCCUGUUCGAGCGUCAUUUCAACCCUCAAGCCCCCGGGUUUGGUGUUGGGGAUCGGCUCUGCCUUCUGGCGGUGCCGCCCCCGAAAUACAUUGGCGGUCUCGCUGCAGCCUCCAUUGCGUAGUAGCUAACACCUCGCAACUGGAACGCGGCGCGGCCAUGCCGUAAAACCCCAACUUCUGAAUGUUGACCUCGGAUCAGGUAGGAAUACCCGCUGAACUUAAGCAUAUCAA
rnacentral:rRNA from 1 species